rnacentral:lncRNA from 1 species
AAAUGGUGGGGCUCAUCUUAAAGAAAAGUCCUGUUUCCAGGCUGACCAGGAGGGCAAAAGGAGGAAGGAAGAAGAAGGAGGAAAACUCGAGGGCGGCAACUCAGGAGCCGACCAAGCACAUAAAAACAUCUUCAAAGCGAAGAGCUUGUUUUUCAAAAACACCAGGGUUUCGCUGGAAACGACCCGAGCUGGAGCCGCCAAGCAGGGCCGGGAGCCGGGCCAGCUGCGGGGAAGCUGCCAGCUCUGAGUGCGUGCGUAACCCAACCUGCGCCUGAACUGUCCCUGGCCCACACUGGGACCAGGGCACCAUCUCCUUGGGGCGCCAGUGACCUUUUUUCUCCCUACCCUCUACUUCCUAAGCCCCUUCCCCAACACCAGUGGGUUCCUGCGAGUUGGGCUCCGCAGAAGUGAUGUUUGUCCAGGAUGCUUUUAUCCAUUCUGGCUCUUUUUCAGGGGCAAAGUCUUGCUCUCCCUGACAGCUCACUCAAAAAAUAGCACGGCGGCUAAUUUUGCUGGCUGGGAGGCUGCUGCGAUCGAUACCAAAUGCGGUGACUUCUGGUAUUUUUAAUGGCUCCCCGGGCAGCUUAUCAUCUUUGUAUACUUAGAUACUGAUGUCAUGGCAGCGUGGGUAAAUACACCAGGCAUGUAUUGCUGGGCAUGGCUGGGCUAAGCAAGAUGUAUUUUUUUUGUCUUUCCCUCCAGACAGGCUGCUUCUACAAAUUUUGGGUCUUGGGAAUGCAUCAGACCACACAGAUCCCCAGGCAGGGGUCAGCCCCAUUGCCUCAUGCUGCCUGCUUCAUCUUCUGCCGUUUUUAUUGGCACUGGAUGCUCUUUCAGGUGCUGGGAGCUGCACUGCACUGGCUGACUUGCCCGCUCAUGAUGCAGCUGGGAUGUGUACGGCAGUGCUGCGCAUUUCCCAGCAAAACAAGAUUUUCAGCUUUAACAUGCUCCUGGUCUUGCAAGAAUUCCAGUUUAACAGCCUAACUCCAAACUCUAUGCCUGAAUAUCUUCCUCCCCUGUCGCAGCAUAGCCUCUGGCCUGAUGUGGGGCAGAUGUGCACCCUGGGAGUUACAGGACUUGAGUUAGGACAUGAAAAUGGAGAAUUGGAUGGAGAGAAAUAUCCUUCUUUUCCCCAGCCAGGGCAGGACAGCUUGGAGAUAUCCAUGGGAAAGGAGGGCUCUGGCAAGCACCCUGACACAGUGCAGUGCAGGCCGCUGCCAGCCUCAAAGCCCAUGUGUCCCCACGUCCCCGUGUCCCUCCUGCAGCUCAGGAAAGGAGCAAAGUGCAGGGAGAUAAAACUUCUGCUCGCCAGGCUGCAUCCCCAGGGGUGGCAGGGAGCUGCAGCAGAGGCUGGACACUUUGGCACAGCAUUUCCCUACCUGCAUUCAGUGCAGAGAAGCCAUGGACAGGUGUGAGUGACCAGGCUUUGGAAAGAAGACCGUGACCACUUUCACACAGUAUCUGGGCUUUUCUGUCAACAAGUUGAAGAAAAAAAAAAAGCAGCAAAGUUUCUAACCAGAC